AGAGUUUGAUCCUGGCUCAGGACGAACGCUGGCGGCGUGCUUAACACAUGCAAGUCGAACGAUGAACCACUUCGGUGGGGAUUAGUGGCGAACGGGUGAGUAACACGUGGGCAAUCUGCCCUUCACUCUGGGACAAGCCCUGGAAACGGGGUCUAAUACCGGAUAACACUUCCACUCUCCUGGGUGGAGGUUAAAAGCUCCGGCGGUGAAGGAUGAGCCCGCGGCCUAUCAGCUUGUUGGUGAGGUAAUGGCUCACCAAGGCGACGACGGGUAGCCGGCCUGAGAGGGCGACCGGCCACACUGGGACUGAGACACGGCCCAGACUCCUACGGGAGGCAGCAGUGGGGAAUAUUGCACAAUGGGCGAAAGCCUGAUGCAGCGACGCCGCGUGAGGGAUGACGGCCUUCGGGUUGUAAACCUCUUUCAGCAGGGAAGAAGCGAAAGUGACGGUACCUGCAGAAGAAGCGCCGGCUAACUACGUGCCAGCAGCCGCGGUAAUACGUAGGGCGCAAGCGUUGUCCGGAAUUA
rnacentral:rRNA from 1 species